UACAAACAUGAGGUGUUUCGUUAUUGCUGCCCUCGUGCUACUAGUGGGUCGGGCGUGCUGUGAUGCGGCCUGUCCACAGAUCUGUGCAACAAUUUUAAGUCCUGUGAAGGCUGUCUGCAAGGGAGGCAGCGAAGUCAAAACCUUCUCAAACCCAUGCAUGUUGACUGCUUGGAACUGCGAGCAAAAUGACGACUGCAAAGAAGUACCGGUAGCAGUAACUUAAUGCAACUAAGAAGGAGAAAGCUGCUUAAGAUGCAAUUAUAGUGUGUAGUGCCAAAGUUCUGCCAUGUUUCAGUUGCUGUCAUUAAAAUAUAAUCAAGUGAUUGCCAUGUUUUGCCA